rnacentral:lncRNA from 13 species
UGUAGAUGUGGCCUAUGUCACAUGGCUCUCAUUGCCUCAUUUCCUGCCACUUCAGACUGUGUCUACUCCAGGAAGGCUGAGACAUGAUAAGAAGGUUCAGUGGUUCUGAGGAUAUGUUCAUGUGUGGAUGCGAUGGAACUGAGGUCACCAGGUUCAGGCCACCUGGAGCAUGAGGCUGACAAAUGGAGAAGCACUGAGUCAAAUGAAUCUUGGAGAAAUGGAGCUGGAAGAAAAUUGGGGAUGACUGAUUCCCUGUGAAGACUGGAGAGCCAGGAAAAACUGGAGAUAAUGGAAUUACACAGAAUUUAGAAAUGAAAGCCUCCUGAAAAUUAAUAUUUUAAAAAUAACAAAUAAGGGAUGGUUGUUUUUUCCUUAACAUAAUAAAUGAUGAGGAACUGACA